GAUGAACGCUGGCGGCGUGCUUAACACAUGCAAGUCGAACGAUGAAGCCCAGCUUGCUGGGUGGAUUAGUGGCGAACGGGUGAGUAACACGUGGGUAACCUACCCUUGACUCUGGGAUAAGCCUGGGAAACUGGGUCUAAUACCGGAUAGGAACGUCCAACGCAUGGUGGUUGUUGGAAAGAUGUAUCGGUCAUGGAUGGACUCGCGGCCUAUCAGCUUGUUGGUGAGGUAAUGGUUCACCAAGGCGACGACGGGUAGCCGGCCUGAGAGGGUGACCGGCCACACUGGGACUGAGACACGGCCCAGACUCCUACGGGAGGCAGCAGUGGGGAAUAUUGCACAAUGGGCGAAAGCCUGAUGCAGCGACGCCGCGUGAGGGAUGACGGCCUUCGGGUUGUAAACCUCUUUCAGUAGGGAAGAAGCGAAAGUGACGGUACCUGCAGAAGAAGCACCGGCUAACUACGUGCCAGCCGCCGCCGUAA
rnacentral:rRNA from 1 species